UGAGCGCUAUGUGUUGGAUUGUGCGCUUUACUAGGAUGGCUGCACCUCCACGGCGGUUGUUAGAUGGGUGGUUUGCCAGCAUAAAUAACUCCAUCUCUUCCAGUUUAUUGUGUAGUCCUGCUGCAUUCCAGGCUACAAUUUUAAGGGCGUUGGUGUUGAGUCUGGCAUAUAUGUUAUGCCCAUUUCUCUCUGAGGAGGAAGUGAUGGAGUUAGCGUCGUGGCUAGACAUUUUGGUUACCAUUGACGCGCUCCAUGGUAGACAUGAGAGUGCUUACGGUAGCCAUCAUACUCGUCAUUAGAUCAACUAAUCUGUCAAUUUUACUUUCCAGGUUGCUGUUAUUGGCAGGGGCAAUUGGGCUCCUUUGUUGUUCAACCAUUAUGUUGAUCAGCUGAUCAAGUUUUCGGCUGAGGUCAUCUCGCGGGUAUGCAGUUCGCGGUGAGCUGCGGCUGCGGCUCCUGUGUUGCUGGCGCGCUUCUGCAGGAUGUGCUAUCACUUGCCGAGUUUCUCGCUCCUGAUAAUGCACAUGCUGGUGGCGCUGAGGCGGCUGAUUGUUGUGCUGCAAUCUCGAAUCAUGUUGAGGCUGCUGUCGAGUUGUUUGGCGCUGUGCGGUCUGCUUCUGCACUCGGGAGCGCUCAUCUGGCAGGCCAGCUUUAAGGGCGGCUGCAUAGCUGCUUGCAGCUUGAGGCAUUGGCUGCUGGUGUUGCACUUGCUGACGGAAUGAGUUGUGCUGCGGCUGCUUCUGCUGCUCAGAGGGCCGCUGUGGUUGCUGCUGUUGUGCCUGCUGGCCCUGAACAACUGGAGGCCGAAGCGGUUGCUGCUUUGGUCGUCCCUGUUGCCUACCAGAGCUAAUUGGAAUGCAUUGUUUUUGAAGAAGAUGCAGCCCCUGUAACUAGCAGCAUGUGGGCCCUUACAAUUAGCACAUUUCGCUUCUGCACUAGGC